rnacentral:rRNA from 1 species
UGCCAUCCGCCGCGGUAAUACAGAGGGUGCAAGCGUUAAUCGGAAUUACUGGGCGUAAAGCGCGCGUAGGUGGAUAUUUAAGUCGGAUGUGAAAGCCCCGGGCUCAACCUGGGAACUGCAUCCGAUACUGGAUGUCUAGAGUAUGGUAGAGGGAAGUGGAAUUUCAGGUGUAGCGGUGAAAUGCGUAGAUAUCUGAAGGAACACCAGUGGCGAAGGCGACUUCCUGGACCAAUACUGACACUGAGGUGCGAAAGCGUGGGGAGCAAACAGGAUUAGAUA